CCCUUAUAUGUUCUGGGCUGCACGCGCGCUACACUGAUGCGAUCAACAAGUUUUUCCUAUGUCGAUAGACACGGGUAAUCUUUUGAACUCGCAUCGUGAUGGGGAUAGAUUAUUGUAAUUAUUAAUCUUCAACGAGGAAUUCCUAGUAGGUGCAAAUCAUCAGUUUGCAUCGAUUACGUCCCUGCCCUUUGUACACACCGCCCGUCGCUGCUACCGAUUGGUUGAUCUGGUGAAUUAUUCGGACUGCCGGCUGAAGGGGUUUCCUCAUCUGCCAGCGGAAAGUCUUGUUAACCCUAUCAACUAGAGGAAGCAGAAGUCGUAACA
rnacentral:rRNA from 1 species